UGCGUAGGCGGGAAGCCAAGUUGAAUGUGAAAUACCGUAGCUCAACUACGGGGCUGCGUUCAAAACUGGUUUUCUUGAGUACAGCAGAGGUAAGCGGAAUUCCCAGUGUAGCGGUAAUAUGCGUAGAUAUUGGGAGGAACACCAGUGGCGAAGGCGGCUUACUGGGCUGAAACUGACGCUGAGGCACGAAAGUGUGGGGAGCAAACA
rnacentral:rRNA from 1 species